rfam:Spinacia oleracea cultivar SynViroflay C24988558.1, whole genome shotgun sequence.
AUCCCAUGAUGAGGGCAUUCACGUUGAUACUCUUUGUAACGAUCCCAAGCAUCAAACAAGGAUUCAUCCCUUUUAUGCUCAAAGUAUUGAAUUUAUUUCUUGUACUU